UUGGUUAAGUUAGAAAGGGCGCACGGUGGAUGCCUUGGCACUAGGAGCCGAAGAAGGACGGGACUAACACCGAUAUGCUUUGGGGAGCUGUACGUAAGCGUUGAUCCAGAGAUUUCCGAAUGGGGGAACCCACUAUCUUUAGUCGGAUAGUAUCCUUACGUGAAUACAUAGCGUGAGGAAGGCAGACCCAGGGAACUGAAACAUCUAAGUACCUGGAGGAAGAGAAAGAAAAAUCGAUUUCCUGAGUAGCGGCGAGCGAAACGGAAAGAGCCCAAACCAAGAAGCUUGCUUCUUGGGGUUGUAGGACACUCUAUACGGAGUUACAAAAGAAAGUUAUAAAUGAAGCGGUCUGGAAAGGCCCGCCAAAGACGGUAACAGCCCGGUAGUUGAAAUGGCUUUCCCUCCAGAGUGGAUCCUGAGUACGGCGGAACACGUGAAAUUCCGUCGGAAUCCGGGAGGACCAUCUCCCAAGGCUAAAUACUCCCUAGUGACCGAUAGUGAACCAGUACCGUGAGGGAAAGGUGAAAAGCACCCCGGAAGGGGAGUGAAACAGUUCCUGAAACCGUGUGCCUACAAGUAGUUAGAGCCCGUUAAUGGGUGAUAGCGUGCCUUUUGUAGAAUGAACCGGCGAGUUACGAUUUGUUGCAAGGUUAAGCGGAAAAAGCGGAGCCGUAGCGAAAGCGAGUCUGAAUAGGGCGCAUAAGUAACAGGUCGUAGACCCGAAACCAGGUGAUCUACCCAUGUCCAGGAUGAAGGUAAGGUAAUACUUACUGGAGGUCCGAACCCACGCACGUUGAAAAGUGCGGGGAUGAGGUGUGGGUAGCGGAGAAAUUCCAAUCGAACUUGGAGAUAGCUGGUUCUCUCCGAAAUAGCUUUAGG
rnacentral:rRNA from 1 species